UACAUGGGGUGCAAACGUUUGCUCGGAAUUAUUGGGCGUAAAGCGCACGUAGGCGGUUCGUUAAGUCGGAUGUGAAAGCCCUCGGCUCAACUGAGGAAGUGCACCCGAAACUGGCGAGCUUGAGUACGAAAAGAGGAUCGCGGAAUUCCCGGUGUAGAGGUGAAAUUCGUAGAUAUCGGGAGGAACACCAGUGGCGAAGGCGGCGACCUGGGCCAAUAUUGACGCUGAGGUGCGAAAGCGUGGGGAGCAAACAGG
rnacentral:rRNA from 1 species